rnacentral:rRNA from 1 species
UACGUAGGGACCAAGCGUUGUUCGGAUUUACUGGGCGUAAAGGGCGCGUAGGCGGCGUGUUAAGUCACUUGUGAAAUCUCUAAGCUUAACUUAGAACGGUCAAGUGAUACUGAUGUGCUAGAGCGCAGAAGGGGCAACCGGAAUUCUUGGUGUAGCGGUGAAAUGCGUAGAUAUCAAGAGGAACACCUGAGGUGAAGACGGGUUGCUGGGCUGACACUGACGCUGAGGCGCGAAAGCUAGGGUAGCAAACGGG